UUGACGGGGCCCGCACAAGCGGAGGAGCAUGUGGUUUAAUUCGAUGAUACGCGAGGAACCUUACCUGGGCUCGAACGUAAGAUGACUGUAGGUGAAAGCUUACAUCUCUUCGGAGCAUUUUACGAGGUGCUGCAUGGUUGUCGUCAGCUCGUGCCGUGAGGUGUCGGGUUAAGUCCCAUAACGAGCGCAACCCCUACCUUUAGUUGCCAUCAGGUAAUGCUGGGGACUCUAAAGGAACUGCCUACGCAAGUAGUGGGGAAGCGGGGAUGACGUCAAAUCAGCACGGCCCUUACGUCCAGGGCUACACACGUGCUACAAUGGCCGAUACAGAGGGCAGCUACCUGGUGACAGGAUGCAAAUCUCCAAAGUCGGUCUCAGUUCGGAUCGGAGUCUGCAACCCGACUCCGUGAAGUUGGAUUCGCUAGUAAUCGCGCAUCAGCCAUGGCGCGGUGAAUACGUUCCCGGGCCUU
rnacentral:rRNA from 1 species